rnacentral:rRNA from 1 species
CGGGUGAGUAACGCGUGGGUAACCUGCCUCACACAGGGGGAUAACAGUUGGAAACGGCUGCUAAUACCGCAUAAGCGCACAGUACCGCAUGGUACAGUGUGAAAAACUCCGGUGGUGUGAGAUGGACCCGCGUCUGAUUAGCUAGUUGGCAGGGCAGCGGCCUACCAAGGCGACGAUCAGUAGCCGACCUGAGAGGGUGACCGGCCACAUUGGGACUGAGACACGGCCCAA